rnacentral:rRNA from 1 species
ACCAACGUUCAUACCGCACUGAAUGCACUCGUUCUCGUCCGAUCACGAAAGUUAAGCAGUGCUGGGCACGGAUAGUACUUAGAUGGGUGACCGCUUGGGACUCCGUGUGACGUUGGUU